rnacentral:rRNA from 1 species
GCCGAAUGAAUUAGCCCUGAAAAUGGAUGGCGCUGAAGCGGGCAGCCGACACCACGCCGUCUGGGCGAGUGAUUUUUGCCUCAGAUGAGGUAGGAGGACGUGGCGGUCGUAUAGAAGCGUAUGCGCAAGCGUGCGUGGAACGGCCGCCAGUGCAGAUCUUGGUGUUAGUAGCAAAUAUUCAAACGAGAACCUUGAAGGGCGAAGCGGGGAAGGGUUCCACGCGUACAUUGAUUGGGUGUGGGUAAGUCGUUCCUAAGCCGCGUGGCAAUAGCUAAUACAAAUGGCGAAAGGGAAGCAGGUUGACAUUCCUGCACACGGAUGUGGAGGCGGUGACGCACUUUCUGGGGUAAUGAAGCUGGCUGUGGCACUGGGCAGAGUUGUCUUUUCUGUUUAACCGCUCUCUCACUGUGUGGAAUCCGCUUGUCGGGAGAAACACGUGUUGACGGGCAUAGCGCCGGAGCUUUCCCGGCGUCCAGUUCGCUACGGACGGACCUUGAAAAAUUACCUGCUGGCACAGUCGGUUUUGAAAUUUUUUUUUAGAACGCAGAUCUGUGUAUGAAAAAUCCACGCCGUAACGUACCGAUAACCGCAUCAGGUCCCCAAGGUGAACAGCCUCUGCUCGAUAUGAUCAAUGCAGGUAAGGGAAGUCGGCAAAAUAGACCCGUAACUUUGGGAAAAGGGUUGGCUCUAGUGCUGUGUGGGACUGGUUGUUGAGGUGUCCGAGCUGCUCCUGUUGACUCUGCUGCGGAGCUGGCAAAGCUGGAGAAUUUGAAAAAGUUUUUCGGUGGCGCUCGCACUGAAGUGGGGCCUGACGGUCGAACGGUCUUGGCCCGCGACGACGCCCACGGCAUGCAGCAAACUAGAACUGCAACGGGCAAAGGGAAUCCGACUGUUUAAUUAAAACAAA